rnacentral:rRNA from 1 species
AUUAGGUUGUUGUUGGGGUAGCGGCCCAACAAGCCUGUAAUCGGUACGGGUUGUGGGAGCAAGAGCCCGGAGAUGGAUUCUGAGACACGAAUCCAGGCCCUACGGGGCGCAGCAGGCGCGAAAACUUUACAGUGCGGGAAACCGUGAUAAGGGAACUCCGAGUGCCCGUAGAAUCGGGCUGUCCAUCUGUUUGGAUAACAGGUGAAGAAAGGGCCGGGCAGGACCGGUGCCAGCCGCCGCGGUAGUACCGGCGGCUCGAGUGGUGGCCACUAUUACUGGGCUUAAAGCGUUCGUAGCUGGUCUGUUAAGUCUCUGGGGAAAUCUACUGGCUUAGCCAGUAGGCGUCUCAGGGAUACUGGCAGACUAGGGACCGGGAGAGGUGAGAGGUACUCCAGGGGUAGGAGUGAAAUCCUGUGGUCCUUGGGGGACCACCUGUGGCGAAGGCGUCUCACCAGAACGGCUCCGACAGUGAGGGACGAAAGCUGGGGGAGCAAACCGGAUUAGAUACCCGGGUAGUCCCAGCCGUAAACGAUGCGCGUUAGGUGUAUCGGUGACCACGAGUCACCGACGUGCCGAAGAGAAAUCGUGAAACGUGCCGCCUGGGAAGUACGGUCGCAAGGCUGAAACUUAAAGGAAUUGGCGGGGGAGCAC